CUGCGAAUGGCUCAUUAUAUCAGUUAUAGUUUAUUUGGUGAGGCCUACUUGGAUAACCGUAGUAAUUCUAGGGCUAAUAAUGAGAAAGUCCUCUGGUGAGGUGUGUUUAUUAGAAUGAAAACCAUAUGCUUCGGCAUGAUAGUGAGUAAUAGUAACCUAUCGUAUCGCAUGCUUAAUGUAGCGAUGAGUCUUUCAAGUUUCUGCCCUAUCAGCUUUCGAUGGUAGUAUAUGGGCCUACCAUG
rnacentral:rRNA from 1 species